GGUGGUUCAGUGGUAGAGUGUUUGCCUUACAUGCAUGAGGUCCUGGGUUCGAUUCCUCGGCACCA
rnacentral:tRNA from 1 species